ACCGGGACGGGAGCGCAGACAACGGUGAGGAUUGUUGAUCAAUGCAGCAAUGGAGGGUUGGAUUUGGACGUGGGAGUAUUCAAUCGUUUGGACACGGAUGGACAAGGGUACCAACGUGGACAUCUGAUCGUUAAAUAUGUGUUUGUUGAUUGUGGGGACAACCUCAACCUCGUACUCGAUAGUCCUGAGUGAAUAUAGCAGUGUCGUAUCAGACUGCAGAGUUCUAUCAGUAUUAAACUUUCUUUGUUUUUUACUGUUAUUAGAAUAAUCGCAGUUCGACUCUGCUUGCUACUUCAAUAAAUGUUAUGAUAAUGCAGACACAGUGUGACGCAGAAACUAGUUCAAACUAUGUAUCUUGGUUUUGAUUGUUCUUGAAAGUUCCACAUCAUAAGAAGAUUUAUUGGUUACUUUACGUAAAGGAUAAGUAAUUCAUUGACUUAGCUAACUCAGACUUUAUGUCAAUUAAAUUGAUUGAGGGAGAAGAAAAUAAAUCACAAGAUUUCAUUUUAAUUUGCUAUUAAGUAAAUAAUAUAACAUCUGAUUCAGAUGUGUACAUUGCAUAUUAAUUCAAUAAAUUGAGUUGAAAAUUUUAGUCCUAAUUUAAUAAUUGUGAUCGAUGAUUAAAAAUUUGUUUUACCGAUCACCGUCAUUCAAUUAGAUUUGACUAAAAUUUAUAUAAAAUAACCAACAACUUUAUAAACUAGCAAAAUGAAUAAUUAACGGAUCUAAGUCAGAAAUGAGAAACAAAGACACACGAAAAUUGUAGAAAAGGAAAACACAGCGUCUGAUAAAAAAUGAAAACAAAAGUAUCAAACCACAAACAAUAAUUGUAGACAACACCAUCAUAGAAACGACAUUGAAAAUUUCUACUAAUGGUUGCGAAAAUGUCGGAGACAAACAAGUUGACUUCCGUUUCAAUCUUUAAGACUGGAGAAAAAACAACAGCAUUUUUUCUAUAAAAGAUGAAAUCAAAUUUUAGUGAAAUCCAGAAUAAUCUUUUCCCAAUUAUAGACUGGUUAGUCUUUCAUUUUUCAUGCUGCACAUCUUUAUAAAUAUACGUAUUAAUAAUAAAAAGUUAAAUAACAUAAGAUACUCACAAUAAUACAUUUUUUUUAUAUUAUCGUUCAUUUAUACAUAGUUUGUAUAUUUUAUUAACAUUGAUAGCAAACCCUAUCACGUUUAUGUCUGUGAACAGGAAAAUUAUAUUUCUCUUAUUUCAUAUUAAUUAAAAAUAAAAAUCAAUUUGUAAUAUGAAAUUAAUAUUUUUUAAUAAUUUAUUUUAUAAGAAUAAAUUAAGUUUAAAUUCAUUUUUUUAAUGUUAUUAGAAUCAUUCAGAGUUUAUUUAUAUCAAUUUUAUCAUGACAUUCAUCCCUUAUAUUUCCAUAUUUGAUGUGAGAACAUGGGUUAAAAUUCUCACUUAACCUAGAAAUAACAAAAUUUAAAAGAGAUCUCUUUUAAAUAUAUUUUUUUAUUGGUGUUUUUUUUUACAAAAAAUAAGUAAAUUUAUUUUUUAUAUUACAAAAAUAGAUAAUCUUUAAAAGAAUAAUGAAAAUAGAUCAAUUGUGUAAACUUUAUACGACUUCAUAUGAAAACGUCGUACAUGUCCUAGAUGAUUUUAGACAACUUCAAAAAUGAAGUAAUGUACAGAUUAUAUGACUUUAAAGAUGAAGUCGUGUGAGAUAUACUAUUUUAUCGACAUAAUCAAUUACCAGUUCUCAUAAUUCAUUAUAAUUUAUCAAAAUCAUCGCACAAUUCAAACUUUUCAAAUAGAGUUAAAUAUGUUUUUAGUCCCUAUACUUUGGAGCGAUUUUGGUUUUAGUCUCUCUUUCAAACUAUGGUACAAUUUAGUCCUUCAACUUUAGAAAACUCUGGUUUUAGUCCUUUUUACCAAUUUUUUUUUAACUUUAUUUGUUGUUUCAAACGCGUUUCUCAGUUAACAUUGAAGCAAAAAUGUGUCAAACAAUGUAAACAAUCCAAAUGCUACAAUGAAACGUGCUUGAAACAAAAAAUAAAGUUAAAAAAAUUUGGUAAAAAGGACUAAAACCAGAGUUUUCUAAAGUUGAAGGACUAAAUUGUACCAUAGUUUGAAAGAGGGACUAAAACCAAAAUCGCCCCAAAGUAUAGGGACUAAAAACAUAUUUAACCCUUUCAAAUAUUACCAAUUCACAUAAUUGAUUACAAUUUGUUACUUUCCUAUUCUCAUAAUUUUUUUAAAAUUCAUUUAUUUUUGAAAUAUAUAAAAGGCAUAUUUCCUUAUUUUUGCUCUAAUAAGAAUGACAUGGAGAAUUUUCUACAAACAACAUUAGUUUGUGAGUGGAAGACUUUGAAUUUUCUGAGAAGAAGCAAGAUGUUGGUCACCACAAGCAAUGUGUCCAGCGUCUGAGGCAACCCAUGCAUAAUAUCUAUCAUACUUUUCAAACAAAGGGCAUUUUCAUAAUUUCGUGAUCCUAGAGAAUCCCUAUAAGAGGAGAAGCGAUUGGAUGAAGCGAAAUGAAGAGAAGAAGGAUAAUGGGAAAAGUAUCUGUGUUUGUGGUGUGUGUGGCUUGUGUUGUGGCAUUGGUUUCAGGUCAGAGUGCAAGCAAUGUGAGAUCUACGUAUCAUUUGUACCAACCUGAGCAGCAUAACUGGGACUUACGCGCAGUGAGUGCGUAUUGCUCCACUUGGGAUGCUGACAAAUCCUUCGCAUGGCGCAGCAAAUAUCCUUGGACAGCUUUUUGUGAACCCUCUGGCCCUCAGGGACAACAAGCUUGUGGCAAGUGUUUGAG
rnacentral:lncRNA from 1 species